rnacentral:rRNA from 2 species
CCUACGGGAGGCAGCAGUGAGGAAUCUUCCACAAUGGGCGAAAGCCUGAUGGAGCAACGCCGCGUGCAGGAUGAAGGCCUUCGGGUUGUAAACUGCUUUUAUAAGUGAGGAUUAUGACAGUAACUUAUGAAUAAGGAUCGGCUAACUACGUGCCAGCAGCCGCGGUCAUACGUAGGAUCCGAGCGUUAUCCGGAGUGACUGGGCGUAAAGAGUUGCGUAGGUGGUUCGAUAAGCGAAUAGUGAAAUCUGGUGGCUCAACCAUUCAGACUAUUAUUCGAACUGUUGAACUCGAGAGCAGAAGAGGUAGCUGGAAUUUCUAGUGUAGGAGUGAAAUCCGUAGAUAUUAGAAGGAACACCGAUGGCGUAGGCAGGCUACUGGGCUGUUUCUGACACUGAGGCACGAAAGCGUGGGGAGCGAACCGGAUUAGAUACCCGGGUAGUC